AUUUAUCAAAUUUUUAGACAAUUCAAUUUAAUGAUAUAAACCAUUCGAAAGGAGAUAAUUAAAAUGACUAACACCACAACUGCAAACACUCUACCGACAACAACAAAUAUUUUAGUCAUUUUAAUUAUUUGCUAGGACUCGAACUUUAGUAAUUGUAUCUACUAAAUGUUUAAGUCCUAUUUCCGAUUGAAUGGGACUUUUGAA
rnacentral:sRNA from 1 species